rnacentral:lncRNA from 10 species
CUACGUGAGCAAUUAGCACAUACAGCACGUGAACUACCAAAGACCGAGGGUGACCAAAGUGACUGUGGUGGGAAGCGACAACUAACAAGAGUCCGAACAUCUGGGAGGAAGCUGGGUCCCACCAGGUAUUGUGUGGGCCUGGGUAUCUUCAUCUGUCUACCUGACUGAAGCUCCAGAUGGAAGGUGCCAAACUGGGGAGGUGGUGGAAAUAAGGAAAAGGAAAGCUGAAUGAAGAGGGUUGAGACUGGUGAGCAUGUGCGCAGGCAUGGAAGCUGCCGGGAAAGGAGAUGCUCAUGCAGUGGACUCCGAGGAGCAAGGAUGAGCACCCUUGACCACAACAAAUGGGCAGAGGGAGAGGAGCCCCUCCUCUGGGAAGGGGACAAGCCGCAGGGUCAGAGGGGAAGGGCAGAGCCACACUGGGUCACCAGCAGGGCAGAGUGGGGAGAGGGAGGAGCCACGGAAACGGGCCAGGCCCCCAGGGGGAAGCGUGAGCCUCUGCCAAGCAGGGCUGGCCGGAGCUUGGGGCCCGCAGCUCCCCUGGGGUCAGCAAGGCUGUGGUCACUGUGCUGGGCAGCGUGACUCAAAGGGAGGCCAGGCUCCUCCACCUGCCAGCCUUUGGCCCUGAUAAUCCAUUUUAAACUGCAGGUCCCAGUUCCUUAGUGGGUCACAAACAGCACUUUCAAAGGUGAACUGAAUAGAAGAGAAAAUAGCAAUGUGCGCUGCACACAGUGGAACCUGCUCUGCAUAUGUCCCUGUCAAGAGGCAAUGCACAGAAAGUACCAGAACGCUCCUCUUCCCACUGUGAGGUGAUGCAUGGAAUGAGGGGAUGGCUCAGUUUACUCUAGAUAGAAAUAGGAAAAUAUUAAAUCACUCAAAAUAAUAAAGUAUAAAGAUUUUAAAAGUUCAUUUGGGUUUCAAAUAGUGCAGAUUUAGCAGUAAUUAUGUGGUAUAUGAACACCUUGCUAAUAAAUCUUUUGAUAGAUAUUUAAAUUAUAUGGGAGGAAUAUUCAUCAGGAAAGCAGAAAAAUAACAUGGCAACAACGUAAAGGCCUUGAUUAGAAUUACUUCAGAAUAGCACUUAUAUCAUUUAUGUGGGUCCUAAUGAAAACAGAGCCUAAAGACUACAUCAGGAAAGAAAGGCAGAGCUCUCCAUCUGGGGGUGCAAGUCAGUGCCCUGAAGAAAAUUUUAUAAGACUCUCCAGGAAAUAACAACUUACGAGUGGCUGGGGUUCUGGAAAACAGAAUAGAACACUUCCUAUUAGAACUCAAAAGAAAAUGGCACUCGGAUCUUCAUGACGGUGCCCACCACCCCCCUCCUUUAAGCCAACCAGCAGACUUCAUCGUCAGGCCGUGGAGACACAGGGAGACACUUGCCAAGGCAUCUGUGAGACGCACUUCUUCAUCCUUCUGUGAAGCUGCAUGAGGCGCUCUGCAUCCCCACUGGAGAGAAACCCAGCAAGCACCGCCCAGGCCUGCUGGGACCCGUGGGGAGGCUAUGCAAGAAAGAGGCUGAGGAAAGGGCAGAGAGAAGCUGGGUGUGCCCAUAUAAUGUAGGCUGCCAGAUCAGACCUUGCCUGAAGCUAGCCCUUCUUCGGCCUUCUAGGUCAGGUAAGCUGAGACAUACCCUUAAUUGUUUAGGUCAGCUGAGUUUGGUUUUGUGUGAUCUGCAACUGAAAGUCUGCCUGAACACAUGGAUUGUGGUAUUUUAACCUCCAGUUUAGACAUGUGGGGAAAGCACUUGGUCAGUGUGGCAUUCACAGCUGGUGGAUUCAGAGCCCAGCUGCUCUCCCCUCUCUGUCCUUCUCCUUCCACUCACACUUCUGCUUCCCAAGGUGGUGUCUGGGGUGGUGGAUGAUGCUGGGAGCCUACAUACCCCCCGGCACCUGAAGAGAGGGUCCUGUGUCCCCAGCUGUGGCCACCCUGUCCUUGUGGGCCUCGGCUGCCCAUGUCCUUGCCCUGUCUGCUCUGUUGGUGAAGUGUUCAUGAAGGACUGCGGUGCGUUCUGUGCUCUCAGCACGGCCAGCAUCUGGCAUAUGUCCUCUGCCAACUGGGCCCUGGUGCUGGCUCUGGCGACACUGUUACCUCCUGAAGCUCAAUGGCACCCUCCCUGUGCACCUGGCUUUUGGCUGUCCAUCUCACAGCUCUCCUCCAUGAACCAGUGAGAACCCAGAAAACAUGGGCAGCCUUGGUUUCCAUACCAGGGGAGUGCAGGACCCCAGGACCACAGGAGCUUCCAGCCCCCUCUCAGGCUCCUUGGAGAGCUCGGCCCCCUCGGCAUGGCACUCCUGGAGACUGCGACCCAGCCUGUGGGGCGCUGGCAUUCCCCUCCUCUGGCUUUCCACCCACGCUCUGAGUUUCUAACCCAGAGGGGCCAGAGGAAGUCAGAGCCUUUCAAAGACUCUUUCAAAGUGUGCUCAGCUCUUGGUUCUGCUCUCAUGCUCUCCCCCUCAGCACCUCUUCCAAGCCAAGGAGGUACCCUCUCCCUCCUGUGAAGUGGGUCUCUUGCAUCCUCUCUACUCAAUGGCUUCCUUUAUAAUGUUAAACUCUAAAAAUACAAGGCUUUGAGUCUUGAUAUUUAAAAGGAAGCUUCUGAAAUUCAAAAAUUAACAAAACAAAACACUUUUUGAUCUCUCAUGCCGAUACUUUUCUUGUUUCUGCUGUGCCCUUUCACAAGUUCUAGUUGAAAGCCAGAGCUGAACACUGAUUCCUUUAUUCUCAGCUGUAACUCCCUCUCCCUCUGAAGUAAUAGAGGCCUCAGCCCUACUGGGCAGGCAGUCUCUAAGUAGCAAGAGGUGCUGGGAACAAAAUAUGCACUGGAGGGUUUCUCAAAACUACCCCUGUGCUAUCAAGUAUUUUGUUCGAUUAAAGCUGCCAAUAAGGAGACUUCUGCUUCCAGGAAGGUUGUGUAAACACGUUCCCUAUCCCUGUCCCAAGAUACAACUAAAAC